AAAUGACCAAUUACAGGGUGAGCCAAGGAUCCCCACGUGGGGUGCCUCCUAGGCAUAAGAAAACAUUCUGAGGAGCUGGAAUCCGGGAACAUCACCAGCAGCAGCAGCGGCCACACCUACACACACCUGGCAGUGUUCCCAGGAAGAAGGCGGAAGAUGCCCUGUCUCAUUGCCAGAUCUCCUUCCUUCGACAUCCCACUGGCCAAACCAUCAGCUGACUCCUACCCAGGAUGCUUGGUUUCGGGAGCCAGCUUGUCCUAAUGGUCCAGGGAAGCACUCAGAUUUCCGGGCAGGCUGGAGCAGUCUGAGUGCUGAGUCUAAAUGGUGUGAUCGCUGUCACCACUGAACUGGAAAGCGAGUAAAUGGGCAGGCUGCAGAGAUGAAUCACUGGCGACCAAGUUCCAGCAGUUUCUUCUUGGUGGCUCUUUGCUGCUGGAAGCCUUCUUUGUUUGGGUCUAGGGGCUUUUUAUUUCUUUUUGUUGGCCUCACUAAUAGCUUUUGGUUAUUAAUAUCCCUGAUGGGAACUGAAUUGGGACCCCAGUAUCCUUGUGAACACUGGUGAGAACAUUAAACCGUGCCGGAAUUACCUCGGAGACCAUCAA